rnacentral:lncRNA from 1 species
CUUGAUUUGUGUCCUGCUAGGGUAACAAGAUUGUUGUAGAGGAAGUAAGGCUAGGACCUGAAUGUGGGGGCACUGGUGAGGUCCCAGAGAAAGGAAUUGAGUUUGUUCGUGCCUGUAGGGACACAGAGGACCAGAGUCAGACCAUAACAUUAAAAUAUUCUCAGCCAGUGUUUCCACCUAAGGUUGUUGAGGAGACUCCAUUUCUAAUAUAUGCCAGACCAUGAGACUCCAUGUUGAUCCUACAGCUUGGACUUGGGAUUCACUCUUUGUUCAUUUGGGGGAAAUGUUAGAACCUGGGUUUUGCUUACUGCCCCCAAAUUGGCAUCAGUAAGUAAAUCAUUUUACCUUGGGUCUUUUACACACACACACACACACACACACCAUCUAAUUCCUUCCUUCUCCCACCUAAGGUACACAAUGCUUCACCUGAGCCCCGGUCAGGGCACCAUGUUACUUGCCAUACGAAGCCAUUAGCAUAAGUAUCUGUCUUCCCACCAUAAGCCACUUUAACCGGUUUCUGGACAGUCUCAUCUGCCUCCUAGGCGUCUGUGGAGGUGAGGCAGGCGGGCAGAAGCUUUUGCAGGCAGAAUGGGUAGAUUUACAAAGUGCAGGGCCCGUACUUGUCAGUAGCCCUUUUGAAAAGUUUGUUUUCAGCCGUGUGAGUGCAGGCUCAUCUCAUGCCAGAACGGUCUAGUGUUGGGGGUGUCCGGUCAUGAUUCCCCAAACAGGCACGGAGCGCCUGUGCCUGCAGACCCUCUUAGCAGACUGAGCCUCUUCCUCACCUCGCCCGUGGGCAGAAUUGCUUACAUUUUUUCCUUUCACUGAUCUUUGUCAUUUCCUGCCUGGAAGGAUGAGGUCCUUUGCCUGCACAUCUUUCUCUCCCCUCUUACCCUUCCCUCACUUUGCGUUAAAAAGCAAGAGAAGUACCCUGACCCUGUGUACAGGAAUCCGUGAGGGGAAUAAGUGAGACUUGCCUUGGGAGUAUAUUAUUUCUUCUUACCUCAGCAGAAGAAUCAGUUUGGUGUACCAAUUAGAACAGGUCUUUGAGUCUUUGAAAGCUAGUCUAGGGGCCAACCUUUGACAGUCAAGGGCACAACCAUUUGGGAGGCAAAAUGAGGGGAAUUUGACUGCACUUAUCCCAGGGCUGGUGUUGGACUUCAGGGACACUCGGGUUUGGGGGGCCGGGGGAGGUGAAUCUGAGAUUUGGGAAAAUGGGAGCUGGUUUAGGGAUCCCUGGCCUUCAGUGAGGCCAAGACCAAGAGGUUCUCAGACUCUAGGACAUCCAUGUUCUGUAGGGAGUCACAGAAGAGCUGAGAAUAGAAUGGGGGCACCCACAGGCUGAGAAUAGCCUGGGGCCAGGGGAAAGGGGAGCACUGGCUUGUCUCAGUGGUGAUUGUUCUUAGAUUUAGCUGCAGCUCUGUGGGCGAAGGCCUUGUCCAUGUUUCCCAUGGCGGUGACAGAUGAAAGAGACAGUCUGUAUUUAUGUAUUUAAUAUCAUUCAUUGGCUGUUCAUAUCUCCUCCUCAGGGUCUGACCCAAGAUUAAAUACCUUUUUCAAGGAGAGAUGUCUGGGAAGGGAAGCUUAUUGGAUGAGCCCUCAGGGCCUCUAGGUACCUCAUUAGCAUAGAGAACUCUGUUCUGGGCUUACAUGACCAGAGGUCAGGUUUCCUUCUGUGGGGAGUGUGGCACCUGUUCCAGGCCAGGAGUCUGGCAGGGAGCAGAGAGCUGCCCAAGUCUCAGGCGUGUGCCCACCGAGUCUCCAGGUCUCAACCCGCUCUAUCCACCGAACUUCCUGGCAUGGUUUUACCAUCCCACAGGUAUCCUUGGAAGAAAUAAGAACAUAAUGGUU